rnacentral:rRNA from 1 species
GGCAGUGCCGGUGACAUAUCAAUUAGAUGUCCGCCCCAUCAAUUGUUGACGGUAAGGUAGUGGCUUACCGUGGUUACAACGGGUAACGGGGAAUCAGGGUUCGAUUCCGGAGAGGGAGCAUGAGAAAUGGCUGCCAGAUCUAUGGAUUGCAGCAGGUGCGAAAAUUAUCCACUUUUGGCAUAAAGAGAUAGUGAUGAUAAAUAACGGAUCUGGGCAUUUGUUCAGAGAUCGUAAUGAAAUAAUCGUAAAAGCUUUAAUGAACGCAAUUGGAGGGCAAGUCUGGUGCCAGCAGCCGCGGCAAUUCCAGUUCCAAUAGUGUAUACUAAAGUUGCUGCAGUUGAAAAGCUCGUAGUUGGAUCUCGGCUUGCUAGCGCGCGAGGCGUGUGAGUAGGCCUUUGCUGUAGUUGAGUGCUACGGCUUUACCUUGAACAAAAUAGAGUGCUUAAGGCAAGCAUUCUGCUUGAAUAUCUCAGCAUGGAAUAAUAGAAAAAGACUUUUCUGUUGGUUUACCAGUAGUAAAAGUAAUGAUUAACAGAGACAGACGGGGGCAUUCGUAUCGCACCGCUAGAGGUGAAAUUCGUAGAUCGGUGCGGGACGAACUACAGCGAAAGCAUUUGCCAAGGAUGUUUUCAUUAAUCAAGAACGAAAGUUGGAGUAUCGAAGUCGAUUAGAUCUCGUCGUAGUUCCAACUAUAAACGAUGCCAACUAGCACUCCGCUAAUAAGUAUUAGUACGUUAGCGGGUUGCUUCCGGGAAACCAAAGUCUUUGGGCUCCGGGGGAAGUAUGGUUGCAAAGCUGAAACUUAAAGGAAUUGACGGAAGGGCACCACCAGGAGUGGAGCCUGCGGCUCAAUUUGACUCAACACAGAAAAACUCACCCGGGCCGAACACAGUAAGGAUUGACAGACUGAUAGCUUUUUCUUGAUACUGUGGGUAGUGGUGCAUGGCCGUUGUUGGUUGGUGGAGUGAUCUGUCUGGUUAAUUCCGAUAACGAACGAGACUCAGGCCUACUUACUAGUUGUUCGAUUGCUGGUCGAUCAACUUCUUAGAGGGAUCAGUGUUUAAAACACUUGAAAAUGAGCAAUAACAGGUCUGUGAUUGCCCUUAGACGUUCGGGGCUGCACGCGCGCUACAAUGGAGAAAGCAGUGGGUGUCUUGCUUGGCAAAGCAAGCUGAGCCUUAAAAUUUCUUCGUGACAGGGAUCGAGGCUUGUAAUUAUUCCUCGUGCACAAGGAAUUCCUAGUAAUCGCAGGUCAUUAGCCUGCAAUGAUUACGUCCCUGCCCUUUGUACACACCGCCCGUCGCUACUACCGAUG